rnacentral:misc_RNA from 1 species
AGUCGUAACAAGGUUUCCGUAGGUGAACCUGCGGAAGGAUCAUUAAUGAAGUCUGGGCUUCGGCCCUCUCUCUUCUACACACUUGUGAACCUACACUGUUGCUUUGGCAGGUCUCCGGAGGGGGUUUCAAACCCUCGAAGGUCAGGUCGAAAAGACGCCUGCCAAAGACAUUUAUCUACCCUUUUUUAUUGUCUGAUUUUUGUUUUAAACAAACCAUAAAAAG